CUGCAGUAAAAAAAAGUUAUAUCCAAAUUAGUCUCUAGUUUUAUCAUAAAUUGGCUGUUAAAAGCCCAAAGGUUCCAGAAUGUGUAGUCUAUAUUCUAAACCAGUCCAACUUGUUAUCCAGAUGUACACCUAGGUAUUUAUAUGAUGUCACCACUUCGAUGUCCACUCCACAGGUGUUCACUGGCUGAAGAGGGGGUCUGGAUCUACAGAAGUCUAUGACCAUCUCCUUUGUCUUUGAGGUGUUGAGGAGGAGGCAGUUUUUGUGACUCCAGUCACUGAAGGCUUUUAUUACAUCUCUGUAUCCCUUCCGGAACCUUUAGAUUUUCCUCCCUCUAAAGUCCCUCGUGGCUGUUAAAAGCCACUUUUUCUGUCGGCUUUUUACCCUUUAAGGGCCAAUUUAAGACAUAAAGUCACUUAAAAAGCAAAAAAAUGGAAGGAAAAUGAAGGAAAAUGACCCAUUUUUUUAAUAAAACAUGAUCAAAAACUGGUAAUCUCUUGCAGGGUAUUAAAGUCUUGAAUAUGUCAGAGAUUAGUAAUAUAAUUUACUUAUAUGCAUUUUCAGUUUUUCUGUAGCAUCAGAUUUAAUGAAAAACUGCCUUUGGCGCCUCCAGUGGCCAAAGCUACUUUGUCUGCUGUAAAAUCAUAUUGGAUUAAUAUUUUUUUCAGAUUUUUUUUCAUACAUUUCUUAUUUUACUUCUGCCCUGUUCAAACUAGCAAAUGUUUCAUUAAAAACAAUUUUAACCCUUUAAGGGCCAAUUUAAGACAUAAAGUCUCUUAUGAAGCAAAAAAUGGAAGGAAAAUGGAAGUAAAAUGACCUCUUUGCUUCAUAAGAGACUUUAUGUCUUAAAUUGGCCCUUAAAGGGUUAAAUUUUUUAUUUUCAAAGAAACAUUUGCUAGUUUUGAACAGGGUAGAAGUAAAAUAAGAGAUGUAUGAAAAAAAUCUGAAAAAAAUAUCAAUCCAAUAUGAUUUUACAGCAGAAAAAGUAGUUUUUGCCACUGGGAGGCGCCAAAGGCAGUUUUUCAUUAAAUCUGAUGCUACAGAAAAACUUAAAAUGCAUUGAAUUCAAUUAUAUCACUAAUCUCUGACAUAUUCAAGACUAUUAUACCCUGCAAGAGAUUACCAGUUUCUGAUCAUGUUUUAUAAAAAAAAUGGGUCAUUUUCCUUAAAUUUUUCCUUCCAUUUUUUUUUUAUUUUUAAGUGACUUUAUGUCUUAAAUUGGCCCUUUAAGGGUUUAAAUUUUUAUUUUCAAUGAAACAUUUGCUAGUUUUCGAACAGGGCAGAAGUAAAAUAAGAAAUUUAUGAAAAAAAAUCUGAAAAAAAUAUUAAUCCAAUAUGAUUUUACAGCAGACAAAGUAGCUUUGGCCACUGGGAGGCGCCAAAGGCAGUUUUUCAUUAAAUCUGAUGCUACAGAAAAACUGAAAAUGCAUAUAAGUAAAUUAUAUUACUAAUCUCUGACAUAUUCAAGACUUUAAUACCCUGCAAGAGAUUACCAGUUUCUGAUCAUGUUUUAUAAAAAAAUGGGUCAUUUUCCUUCAAUUUUUGCUGAAUUUGUGACUUUUUGUCUUAAAUUGGCACUUAAAGGGUUAAAAAAAUUGUUUUUAAUGAAACAUUUGCUAGUUUCGAACAGGGCAGAAGUAAAAUAAGAGAUUUGUGAAAAAAAAUCAGAAAAAAAUAUUAAUCCAAUAUGAUUUUACAGCCGACAAAACAAGUGGCUUUCAACAGCCACGAGGGACUUUAAAGGGAGUUUUUCUGUCCUGGCUUUAUUAUUGACCUGGUGAAAAUUUUGAAUUCAUGUUUUCAAAUAAAAUGUCAAAUAAAGCUUAGAAAAAAAAAUUCAUCACAUUUGCUGCAGUAAAAAAAAAGUUAUAUCCAAAUUAGUCUCUAGUUUUAUCAUAAAUUGGCUGUUAAAAGCCCAAAGGUUCCAGAAUGUGUAGUCUAUAUUCUAAACCAGUCCAACUUGUUAUCCAGAUGUACACCUAGGUAUUUAUAUGAUGUCACCACUUCGAUGUCCACUCCACAGGUGUUCACUGGCUGAAGAGGGGGUCUGGAUCUACAGAAGUCUAUGACCAUCUCCUUUGUCUUUGAGGUGUUGAGGAGGAGGCAGUUUUUGUGACUCCAGUCACUGAAGGCUUUUAUUACAUCUCUGUAUCCCUUCCGGAACCUUUAGAUUUUCCUCCCUCUAAAGUCCCUUGUGGCUGUUAAAAGCCACUUUUUCUGUCGGCUUUUUACCCUUUAAGGGCCAAUUUAAGACAUAAAGUCACUUAAAAAGCAAAAAAAUGGAAGGAAAAUGAAGGAAAAUGACCCAUUUUUUUAAUAAAACAUGAUCAAAAACUGGUAAUCUCUUGCAGGGUAUUAAAGUCUUGAAUAUGUCAGAGAUUAGUAAUAUAAUUUACUUAUAUGCAUUUUCAGUUUUUCUGUAGCAUCAGAUUUAAUGAAAAACUGCCUUUGGCGCCUCCGAGUGGCCAAAGCUACUUUGUCUGCUGUAAAAUCAUAUUGGAUUAAUAUUUUUUUCAGAUUUUUUUUCAUACAUUUCUUAUUUUACUUCUGCCCUGUUCGAAACUAGCAAAUGUUUCAUUAAAAACAAUUUUUUUAACCCUUUAAGUGCCAAUUUAAGACAUAAAGUCUCUUAUGAAGCAAAAAAAUGGAAGGAAAAUGGAAGUAAAAUGACCUCUUUGCUUCAUAAGAGACUUUAUGUCUUAAAUUGGCCCUUAAAGGGUUAAAUUUUUUAUUUUCAAAGAAACAUUUGCUAGUUUUGAACAGGGUAGAAGUAAAAUAAGAGAUGUAUGAAAAAAAAUCUGAAAAAAAUAUCAAUCCAAUAUGAUUUUACAGCAGAAAAAGUAGUUUUUGCCACUGGGAGGCGCCAAAGGCAGUUUUUCAUUAAAUCUGAUGCUACAGAAAAACUUAAAAUGCAUUGAAUUCAAUUAUAUCACUAAUCUCUGACAUAUUCAAGACUAUUAUACCCUGCAAGAGAUUACCAGUUUCUGAUCAUGUUUUAUAAAAAAUGGGUCAUUUUCCUUAAAUUUUUCCUUCCAUUUUUUUUUUAUUUUUAAGUGACUUUAUGUCUUAAAUUGGCCCUUUAAGGGUUUAAAUUUUUAUUUUCAAUGAAACAUUUGCUAGUUUUCGAACAGGGCAGAAGUAAAAUAAGAAAUUUAUGAAAAAAAAUCUGAAAAAAAUAUUAAUCCAAUAUGAUUUUACAGCAGACAAAGUAGCUUUGGCCACUGGGAGGCGCCAAAGGCAGUUUUUCAUUAAAUCUGAUGCUACAGAAAAACUGAAAAUGCAUAUAAGUAAAUUAUAUUACUAAUCUCUGACAUAUUCAAGACUUUAAUACCCUGCAAGAGAUUACCAGUUUCUGAUCAUGUUUUAUAAAAAAAUGGGUCAUUUUCCUUCAAUUUUUGCUGAAUUUGUGACUUUUUGUCUUAAAUUGGCACUUAAAGGGUUAAAAAAAUUGUUUUUAAUGAAACAUUUGCUAGUUUCGAACAGGGCAGAAGUAAAAUAAGAGAUUUGUGAAAAAAAAUCAGAAAAAAAUAUUAAUCCAAUAUGAUUUUACAGCCGACAAAACAAGUGGCUUUCAACAGCCACGAGGGACUUUAAAGGGAGUUUUUCUGUCCUGGCUUUAUUAUUGACCUGGUGAAAAUUUUGAAUUCAUGUUUUCAAAUAAAAUGUCAAAUUAAGCUUAAAAAAAAUUCAUCCCAUUUGCUGCAGUAAAAAAAAAAGUUAUAUCCAAAUUAGUCUCUAGUUUUAUCAUAAAUUGGCUGUUAAAAGCCCAAAGGUUCCAGAAUGUGUAGUCUAUAUUCUAAACCAGUCCAACUUGUUAUCCAGAUGUACACCUAGGUAUUUAUAUGAUGUCACCACUUCGAUGUCCACUCCACAGGUGUUCACUGGCUGAAGAGGGGGUCUGGAUCUACAGAAGUCUAUGACCAUCUCCUUUGUCUUUGAGGUGUUGAGGAGGAGGCAGUUUUUGUGACUCCAGUCACUGAAGGCUUUUAUUACAUCUCUGUAUCCCUUCCGGAACCUUUAGAUUUUCCUCCCUCUAAAGUCCCUUGUGGCUGUUAAAAGCCACUUUUUCUGUCGGCUUUUUACCCUUUAAGGGCCAAUUUAAGACAUAAAGUCACUUAAAAAGCAAAAAAAAAUGGAAGGAAAAUGAAGGAAAAUGACCCAUUUUUUUAAUAAAACAUAAUCAGAAACUGGUAAUCCCUUGCAGGGUAUCAAAGUCUUGAAUAUGUCAGAGAUUAGUAAUAUAAUUUACUUAUAUGCAUUUUCAGUUUUUCUGUAGCAUCAGAUUUAAUGAAAAACUGCCUUUGGCGCCUCCCAGUGGCAAAAACUACUUUGUCUGCUGUAAAAUCAUAUUGGAUUGAUAUUUUUUUCAGAUUUUUUUUCAUACAUCUCUUAUUUUACUUCUACCCUGUUCAAAACUAGCAAAUGUUUCUUUGAAAAUAAAAAAUUUAACCCUUUAAGGGCCAAUUUAAGACAUAAAGUCUCUUAUGAAGCAAAGAGGUCAUUUUCCUUCCAUUUUCCUUCCAUUUUUUUGCUUCAUAAGAGACUUUAUGUCUUAAAUUGGUCCUUAAAGGGUUAAAAUUUUUAUUUUCAAUGAAACAUUGGCUAGUUUUGAACAGGGCAGAAGUAAAAUAAGAAAUUUAUGAAAAAAAUCUGAAAAAAAUAUUAAUCCAAUAUGAUUUUACAGCAGAAAAAGUAGUUUUGGCCACUGGGAGGCGCCAAAGGCAGUUUUUCAUUAAAUCUGAUGCUACAGAAAAACUUAAAAUGCAUUGAAUUCAAUUAUAUCACUAAUCUCUGACAUAUUCAAGACUAUUAUACCCUGCAAGAGAUUACCAGUUUCUGAUCAUGUUUUAUAAAAAAAAUGGGUCAUUUUCCUUAAAUUUUUCCUUCCAUUUUUUUUUUUAUUUUUAAGUGACUUUAUGUCUUAAAUUGGCCCUUAAAGGGUUUAAAUUUUUAUUUUCAAUGAAACAUUUGCUAGUUUUGAACAGGGCAGAAGUAAAAUAAGAAAUUUAUGAAAAAAAAUCUGAAAAAAAUAUUAAUCCAAUAUGAUUUUACAGCCGACAAAACAAGUGGCUUUCAACAGCCACGAGGGACUUUAAAGGGAGUUUUUCUGUCCUGGCUUUAUUAUUGACCUGGUGAAAAUUUUGAAUUCAUGUUUUCAAAUAAAAUGUCAAAUUAAGCUUAGAAAAAAAAUUCAUCACAUUUGCUGCAGUAAAAAAAAAGUUAUAUCCAAAUUAGUCUCUAGUUUUAUCAUAAAUUGGCUGUUAAAAGCCCGAAGGUUCCGGAAUGUGUAGUCUAUAUUCUAAACCAGUCCAACUUAUUAUCCAGAUGUACACCUAGGUAUUUAUAUGAUGUCACCACUUCGAUGUCCACUCCACAGGUGUUCACUGGCUGAAGAGGGGGUCUGGAUCUACAGAAGUCUAUGACCAUCUCCUUUGUCUUUGAG